rnacentral:misc_RNA from 1 species
UAGUCGUAACAAGGUUUCCGUAGGUGAACCUGCGGAAGGAUCAUUAGUUUGAUCAGGCCGUUCGCGGCGGUACCUGAAACCCUCCUUACGGCGGCCGGAGUUCGGCGAAGGGCGAAGUCCCCUCGCGGGCGGAGUCCGCCGGAAUCUCGCAACCAUGCCUUGAAACUGCGGUCUGAGAGAAUGAUGAAUUAGCGAAAA